CAUGUACCAAUCCAUGUACCUGUCCAAACGUUCCUUACAUGUUGUGAUAGACCCAGCCUCAGCUAGGUC